GGAGAGAUGGCCGAGUGGUCGAAGGCGCACGCCUGGAAAGUGUGUAUACGGCAACGUAUCGAGGGUUCGAACCCCUCUCCCUCCGCCA
rnacentral:tRNA from 2 species